ensembl:lncRNA LINC01936 long intergenic non-protein coding RNA 1936
AGGCUCCACCGGGAACCUGUCCCAGACGCCUACCCCGCCUGAGCCAGAGGAAGGGAGGAAAACAAUAGCAAAAACCAGGACCCUUCGGACUUGCCGCUGAAUGGGGAUUUUCGUCGGAUGUUGAGUUUACCUGGAAUGCCCCGGUGUUAUUUUGGGAAGGCAGACAUCCCACGGAAACAAUGAAGUGGAAAAGAAAACAGCUAAAGCAAAAUCUAGAGCCCAGUUUUUGCCAAACCAGCCCCACGUGGGCUGGGCAGGCUCUGGAAGCCCAAGUCAGGCCGAUGAAGAGCGGCUGAGGCCGUGGGGAUCUGGUUUACCAGGAGGGCACAUGGAGGAUGCAAGAAAAGGAAGAGCCGUAUUCAAGUCCCCACUUCAGUGAUGAGGCAGAAAGACCCUGCGCCUGACCACGUGGGAACAGCCUGCAGUGAGCGGUGACGCCGCCUGGCUUGAGCUAAGUGCUGGGCUCCACCAUUCAUUGGCUGAGUGACCUUAGAUGAGAAGAGAAUGAGCCAUGUGUUUCCUGAAACAUCCAGUGGCCUCACCGGAGAAUCUGCAAGAGCCGGUAAACCCAGAAGCUUGGCCGUCCAUUCCUGGAAGCAGACAUUGUGUCUUCGUCCACCAAGCCCCUGGCUCUCAACACUCACUGUGGUGGCAAGAACAUGGCACCUUGACCCUACACAGUUCUUCCAUUUUUCAGAAGCAGCUCCAGACCCUUGUCCCCAGGUUUUGACCCCACCCAGACCUUUGCCUGGGACGGAAAGCUGCUUCAUUUCAGGAGACACCUGAAGUACCUGGGUUGGUUCAGAGACUACCAGAAGUUUUUGGACUUCUUCUAGUCCUUUAAUGGCCAAAAGGACUCAAGGGCCUGGCAUGUAAUGGAAAAGGCAUCACCUCUCUCAUGGAACGCAGCUGGAAGGACCAACCCCUUCAUAGUUACAGGAAUCUGAGCUAUGAAGACACUAGCCAGGCAACAAGGCCCUGGGCUCAGACACAGAUGAAGUUUCUCUGGAAGAGAAAUCUGGCCUGUUACAGACCUGGGAAGUGCCAAGGCUUAGCUCCUGAGAAGGAUUGCUGGUGCUGACAGCUGGGAGUCAGGACUCCAGGGCCACUUGUAUGGAAGCUGGUGCCCGUGGUGCAGGAGGAUGGGGGCUCUGGAUUCUGCACCACCCCCCAUAGACUGGCCCCUCAGAGGGCUCCUGUGGUGUCAGAGCCCUCUCACAAGCGCCUGCCGUGGUUAUCAGCUGAAGCUGAGUGCUUGUGGAGUGUGGACAGAGGGCAGAGGGAGAGAAGCAGCCAUGGGCUUCCUGCCAGGAAGCUCAGCAGCUCCGAGGAGACUGGAGAGUCAUGGGACACAGUGCGUCCUCCCCAGAACAGCCUCCAGCCUGCCAGUUCAGAGCACACGCUUGGAGGCAGGAAGGCUGAGGUCCAACCCCAUUCCUGCUAUGGGCCAGCUGAGAGCUGUGGACAAGUCAUUCGGCUUCUCUGAGCCGCAGUCUUCUCACCUGUAAAGCGGGGGUAAUAAUACCCUCCUCACAAGGUUGUUGCAAGGCUUUGUGGGGAAAAAUACAAAGUGCACAGAGUUGUUCAGUAAGGCGUGGGCCUGCGGGGAAAGGCGGGGCCAUGAGCUGGCCAGGGGAGGAAAGGACAGAUGGGGACUCCAGAUAAUGAAAGCAUCUUUGCAUCCUCAAUGAUAUAAUCUGGGUUUGUUGUUGUUGUUGUUGUUUGAGACAGAGUCUCGCUCUGUCCCCCAGGCUGGAGUGCAGUGGUGCAAUUUCAGCUCACUGCAACCUGUACUUCCCGGGUUCAAGUGAUUCUCCUGCCUCAGCUUCCUGAGUAGCUGGGAUUACAGGUGCCCGCCACCAUGCCUGGCUAAUUUUUCUGUUUUUAAUAGAGACAGGGUUUCGCCAUGUUGGCCAGGAUGGCCUCGAGCUCCUGACCUCAGCUGAUCCACCCUCCUCAGCCUCCCAAAGUGCUGCGAUUACAGGCAUGAGCCACCGCGCCCGGCCCAUCUGGAGUUUUUUUGUUUGUUUGUUCCUCAUAAAGGCUACGAGGAGAGGAAGGGGCCUAGAACACAGGAUGGUGGAAGAGGGGCUCAUGGGUGGAGGGGAGGAGAGCAGAUGAGCAGGGACCCUCCCCCUUCCUCGGCAACCAUGGGGUUUGCCACACAUAUAUUUUUGAUGUCCCAUGUAUCAGGUGGAGAUGUCAACUUCUAUGAACUGAAAUAAACUGUUUCCCUAUGUGUAAAA